CCCCUAGAUGUUCUGGGCCGCACGCGCGCUACACUGAACAGUUCAACAAGUCUUAACCUUGGCCGAUAGGUCUGGGUAAUCUUUGAACGCUGUUCGUGAUUGGGAUAGACCUUUGCAAUUAUGGGACUUCAACGAGGAAUUCCUAGUAAACGCAAGUCAUCAGCUUGCAUUGAUUACGUCCCUGCCCUUUGUACACACCGCCCGUCGCACCUACCGAUUGAAUGGUCCGGUGAAAUCUCGGGACGGCGGCUUGGUCGCUUGCGUCCGACUGCUGAAACUUGAUUAAACCAUAUCAUUUAGAGGAAGGUGAANUCGUAACA
rnacentral:rRNA from 1 species